rnacentral:lncRNA from 1 species
GUUAAACCACAUUAUCCUUACCUAGCCUAGUUUAGGACCAUCCAUACCCUUGUUCUUGAAGCAUAGUAAAACACGAUUCAAAUUGAAUUUCUUUUGAUUAAUGUAUGGCAGAAAAACAAGUGUGGGGGAAGUGUGAGUUAUUAUGCUUGUUGAAAAGAAAAGAAGAGUUGAAAAAAAAAAAAAAAAAAAGGAGUUGAAAAAUAUGCGAAAAAGAGUUUUGAAAGUGCUGCUUGUUGAAGAAAGGGUCCAAAACAUAGAAUUCGGCCCUAAUUAUUGCUUGAAUUUUCCCUUCGUGUCUAAAAGCUGAUUUCUGCAAUCUAAGUGAAUUCUAAGUUUCAAUUUCAUUACUUUACUUGCUAUUGCUUUAAGAACGAUUGUUAUCCUUAUCCUUCAUUUGUUUAGCCAUCACCCAAGCCCCGUUACAACCCUUAACUUCAUCUUGAGUGUCAUGCGUUUCAAUAUGUGGGAGUUUGAAUUUGGUAUGAGCAUAUGGUGUCACUGGUUCUCGCAUCUAAGUAGUAGCAUUCCAUUCAUGAGAUCAUAUCUAAAACAUGGUUAUUAACUCCAGAAAUUGCUUUCUUUGUGAUACAUAUAUGUGAGCGUUCGUUUUCAUAUCUACAUCAAUCUUCUCACAUAUAACUAGUAUAGGGUGUGUAGUUAGAAAAUCUGAGUGAAAAUUGAGUUCAUAUCUUGUAAGGAAUUGAGUGAUUUCUCUAAGGCAUGUUACUACAUCA